rnacentral:rRNA from 1 species
CUACGUGCCAGCAGCCGCGGUAAUACGUAGGGGGCAAGCGUUAUCCGGAAUUACUGGGCGUAAAGGGUGCGUAGGCGGCUUGUUAAGUCAGGGUUAAAAGGCAGCAGCUCAACUGCUGUUCGGCCUUGAAACUAAUAAGCUUGAGUAUAGGAGAGGAAAGUGGAAUUCCCAGUGUAGCGGUGAAAUGCGUAGAUAUUGGGAGGAAUACCGGUGGCGAAGGCGACUUUCUGGACUAAAACUGACGCUGAGGCACGAAAGUGUGGGUAGCAAACAGGAUUAGAUACCCUGGUAGUCCACACCGUAAACGAUGAACACUAGGUGUCGGGAGGAAUCUCGGUGCCGGCGCAAACGCAAUAAGUGUUCCGCCUGGGGAGUACGUUCGCAAGAAUAAAACUCAAAGGAAUUGACGGGGACCCGCACAAGUAGCGGAGCAUGUGGUUUAAUUCGAAGCAACGCGAAGAACCUUACCUAAGCUUGACAU